rnacentral:rRNA from 1 species
AGAGUUUGAUCAUGGCUCAGAUUGAACGCUGGCGGCAGGCCUAACACAUGCAAGUCGAGCGGUAGCACAGAGAGCUUGCUCUCGGGUGACGAGCGGCGGACGGGUGAGUAAUGUCUGGGAAACUGCCUGAUGGAGGGGGAUAACUACUGGAAACGGUAGCUAAUACCGCAUAAUGUCGCAAGACCAAAGUGGGGGACCUUCGGGCCUCAUGCCAUCAGAUGUGCCCAGAUGGGAUUAGCUAGUAGGUGGGGUAAUGGCUCACCUAGGCGACGAUCCCUAGCUGGUCUGAGAGGAUGACCAGCCACACUGGAACUGAGACACGGUCCAGACUCCUACGGGAGGCAGCAGUGGGGAAUAUUGCACAAUGGGCGCAAGCCUGAUGCAGCCAUGCCGCGUGUGUGAAGAAGGCCUUCGGGUUGUAAAGCACUUUCAGCGGGGAGGAAGGCGUUAAGGUUAAUAACCUUGGCGAUUGACGUUACCCGCAGAAGAAGCACCGGCUAACUCCGUGCCAGCAGCCGCGGUAAUACGGAGGGUGCAAGCGUUAAUCGGAAUUACUGGGCGUAAAGCGCACGCAGGCGGUCUGUCAAGUCGGAUGUGAAAUCCCCGGGCUCAACCUGGGAACUGCAUUCGAAACUGGCAGGCUAGAGUCUUGUAGAGGGGGGUAGAAUUCCAGGUGUAGCGGUGAAAUGCGUAGAGAUCUGGAGGAAUACCGGUGGCGAAGGCGGCCCCCUGGACAAAGACUGACGCUCAGGUGCGAAAGCGUGGGGAGCAAACAGGAUUAGAUACCCUGGUAGUCCACGCCGUAAACGAUGUCGAUUUGGAGGUUGUGCCCUUGAGGCGUGGCUUCCGGAGCUAACGCGUUAAAUCGACCGCCUGGGGAGUACGGCCGCAAGGUUAAAACUCAAAUGAAUUGACGGGGGCCCGCACAAGCGGUGGAGCAUGUGGUUUAAUUCGAUGCAACGCGAAGAACCUUACCUGGUCUUGACAUCCACAGAACUUAGCAGAGAUGCUUUGGUGCCUUCGGGAACUGUGAGACAGGUGCUGCAUGGCUGUCGUCAGCUCGUGUUGUGAAAUGUUGGGUUAAGUCCCGCAACGAGCGCAACCCUUAUCCUUUGUUGCCAGCGGUUAGGCCGGGAACUCAAAGGAGACUGCCAGUGAUAAACUGGAGGAAGGUGGGGAUGACGUCAAGUCAUCAUGGCCCUUACGACCAGGGCUACACACGUGCUACAAUGGCAUAUACAAAGAGAAGCGACCUCGCGAGAGCAAGCGGACCUCAUAAAGUAUGUCGUAGUCCGGAUUGGAGUCUGCAACUCGACUCCAUGAAGUCGGAAUCGCUAGUAAUCGUAGAUCAGAAUGCUACGGUGAAUACGUUCCCGGGCCUUGUACACACCGCCCGUCACACCAUGGGAGUGGGUUGCAAAAGAAGUAGGUAGCUUAACCUUCGGGAGGUCGCUUACCACUUUGUGAUUCAUGACUGGGGUGAAGUCGUAACAAGGUAACCGUAGGGGAACCUGCGGUUGGAUCACCU